rnacentral:rRNA from 1 species
UACGUAGGGGGCAAGCGUUGUCCGGAUUCAUUGGGCGUAAAGAGCGUGUAGGCGGCCAGGUAGGUCGGUUGUGAAAACUGGAGGCUCAACCUUCAGACGUCGACCGAAACCAUCUGGCUAGAGUCCGGAAGAGGAGAGUGGAAUUCCUGGUGUAGCGGUGAAAUGCGCAGAUAUCAGGAAGAACACCUAUGGCGAAGGCAGCUCUCUGGGACGGUACUGACGCUGAGACGCGAAAGCGUGGGGAGCGAACAGG